rnacentral:lncRNA from 1 species
AAGUCUCUCCAUUCCAUUCUAAUCAUUUCAAUUCAAACAUUUCUUUUUCCUCCAUCAUCUUGUUUUCAGCCCUAGUGGGUUGAACUACAAAAGCUUUGAUUUCCUUAUUGCACUAUAAGGACACGUAGGCAGGAGAAUCCAGUUUCUUCGCGAGCUACCGUAUUUAUCGAUCGAUCAUUCUCCAUUCAUUCAAUCAUACCAUAUUUUUUAGAUCAAUCAUACUUCUCCUUGGACUCCUUGUCUAUCCUUUUAU